AACGAACGCUGGCGGCAGGCUUAACACAUGCAAGUCGAGCGCCCCGCAAGGGGAGCGGCAGACGGGUGAGUAACGCGUGGGAACGUACCCUUUGCUACGGAAUAGCUCCGGGAAACUGGAAUUAAUACCGUAUGUGCCCUACGGGGGAAAGAUUUAUCGGCAAAGGAUCGGCCCGCGUUGGAUUAGCUAGUUGGUGGGGUAAUGGCCUACCAGGGCGACGAUCCAUAGCUGGUCUGAGAGGAUGAUCAGCCACAUUGGGACUGAGACACGGCCCAAACUCCUACGGGAGGCAGCAGUGGGGAAUAUUGGACAAUGGGCGCAAGCCUGAUCCAGCCAUGCCGCGUGAGUGAUGAAGGCCUUAGGGUUGUAAAGCUCUUUCACCGGAGAAGAUAAUGACGGUAUCCGGAGAAGAAGCCCCGGCUAACUCCGUGCCAGCAGCCGCAGUAACAC
rnacentral:rRNA from 1 species